GGUGGAUCCUAAAAGUGAUGG
rnacentral:siRNA from 1 species